AGUGAACGCUGGCGGUAGGCCUAACACAUGCAAGUCGAACGGCAGCACAGUAAGAGCUUGCUCUUACGGGUGGCGAGUGGCGGACGGGUGAGGAAUACAUCGUAAUCUACUUUUUCGUGGGGGAUAACGUAGGGAAACUUACGCUAAUACCGCAUACGACCUACGGGUGAAAGCAGGGGAUAUUCGGACCUUGCGCGAUUGAAUGAGCCGAUGUCGGAUUAGCUAGUUGGCGGGGUAAAGGCCCACCAAGGCGACGAUCCGUAGCUGGUCUGAGAGGAUGAUCGGCCACACGGGAACUGAGACACGGUCCAGACUCCUACGGGAGGCAGCAGUGGGGAAUAUUGGACAAUGGGCGCAAGCCUGAUCCAGCCAUACCGCGUGGGUGAAGAAGGCCUUCGGGUUGUAAAGCCCUUUUGUUGGGAAAGAAAAGCAGCAGGUUAAUACCCCGCUGUUCUGACGGUACCCAAAGAAUAAGCACCGGCUAACUUCGUG
rnacentral:rRNA from 1 species